GAUGAACGCUGGCGGCGUGCCUAAUACAUGCAAGUCGAGCGAACAGACGAGGAGCUUGCUCCUCUGACGUUAGCGGCGGACGGGUGAGUAACACGUGGAUAACCUACCUAUAAGACUGGGAUAACUUCGGGAAACCGGAGCUAAUACCGGAUAAUAUAUUGAACCGCAUGGUUCAAUAGUGAAAGACGGUUUUGCUGUCACUUAUAGAUGGAUCCGCGCCGCAUUAGCUAGUUGGUAAGGUAACGGCUUACCAAGGCAACGAUGCGUAGCCGACCUGAGAGGGUGAUCGGCCACACUGGAACUGAGACACGGUCCAGACUCCUACGGGAGGCAGCAGUAGGGAAUCUUCCGCAAUGGGCGAAAGCUUGACGGAGCAACGCCGCGUGAGUGAUGAAGGUCUUCGGAUCGUAAAACUCUGUUAUUAGGGAAGAACAAAUGUGUAAGUAACUAUGCACGUCUUGACGGUACCUAAUCAGAAAGCCACGCCUAACUACGUG
rnacentral:rRNA from 1 species